rnacentral:misc_RNA from 1 species
GCCCACCGGCAACCGGCGGGGCAUGUCUGUCUGGGUGUUUUGGUCCGCUCCGGCACAAGUGGCCGGGGCUCUCUUGUCUACGACGUGUGUGCAGUGCCAGAGGCAGUGUCAAUCACAUGGCUAGCAGUGCAGUGAUGUUCACCUGCGUGGCCGACAACAGACAUAACCUCAGAUCAGAUAGGACUACCCGCUGAACUUAA